rnacentral:rRNA from 1 species
AUUGAACGCUGGCGGCAGGCCUAACACAUGCAAGUCGAACGAGUGGCGGACGGGUGAGUAAUGUCUGGGAAACUGCCCGAUGGAGGGGGAUAACUACUGGAAACGGUAGCUAAUACCGCAUACCAUCGGAUGUGCCCAGAUGGGAUUGGCUUGUAGGUGGGGUAACGGCUCACCUAGGCGACGAUCCCUAGCUGGUCUGGGAGGAUGACCAGCACCACUGGAACUGAGAAACGGUCAAGACUCCUACGGGAGGCAGCAGAGGGGAAUAUUGCACAAUGGGCGCAAGCCUGAUGAAGCCAUGCCGCGUGUAUGAAGAAGGCCUUCGGGUUGUAAAGUACUUUCAGCGAGAAGGCGGUACUCGCAGAAGAAGCACCGGCUAACUCCGUGCCAGCAGCCGCGGUAAUAC